CCCCAAGUCAACAACCUGUAAUUCCUAUUAAACAUCCAUGGAAAGUCAACUUGAUAGAUGAUAGAUGCAUUCUAAUUUCCUUGCCCUAGCCCUAAAACUGGUACAAACCGUGCUUAUCAGACAUUUUUGAGACACAUUUUGAAAUCGACCUAUUUUAUACAAGACGCCGCCGUUAUCUGAUUAGUUAGUGCCUGUGUGUAAUCGGUGAAAAGUCACAGCUUAGUUUCUUUUAAAUAAUUAUUUCAGUAGAAGUUUUGAAGAUGAAGUUUACGAUACUAAUUCUGUCACUAGUCAUCAUUGGAAUGGUUGCAGCCGACUUGUCAAGCUUUUCUCAGUUGUUCCAAAAAUCUAAAAGACAAGAACCCUUUUGUAUAGACGAUUUAGACUGUGGAUUUUCACCUCUGUCUUGCAACACUGCUUGUGUCAACAUUCUAAAGUGUCUGUUUGCAUUCUGUCACGAGGACAAAGAAUGUUGUUGCUAUGGUUGUCCUUAGAUAUUAAUAAAUUUUGUUUCCCAGAAAUAUA